rnacentral:ncRNA from 1 species
GCUAAUUGCUACGAUAUCGUUAUAAUACCCUACCUUGAUCCUGUUCUAAGGGAAAAUCCCCCCCUUAACAGGUGACAAAUCAGUGACAUCAGGUUAUUUUCU